CUACACAUGCAAGUCGGGCGAAGAAGCUCCUCCGGGAGUGGAUUAGCGGCGGACGGGUGAGUAACACGUGGGCAACCUGCCUCAAAGAGGGGGAUAGCCUCCCGAAAGGGAGAUUAAUACCGCAUAAAAGGUAAAUAUCGCAUGAUAAAUACCUUAAAGGAGAAAUCCGCUUUGAGAUGGGCCCGCGUCGCAUUAGCUAGUUGGUGGGAUAACAGCCCACCAAGGCGACGAUGCGUAGCCGACCUGAGAGGGUGAACGGCCACAUUGGAACUGAGAGACGGUCCAGACUCCUACGGGAGGCAGCAGUGGGGAAUAUUGCACAAUGGGGGAAACCCUGAUGCAGCAACGCCGCGUGAGUGAAGAAGGUUUUCGGAUCGUAAAGCUCUGUCAUCCGGGACGAUAAUGACGGUACCGGAAGAGGAAGCCACGGCUAACUACGUGCCAGCAGCCGCGGUAAUACGUAGGUGGCGAGCGUUGUCCGGAAUUACUGGGCGUAAAGGGUGUGCAGGCGGAUAUUUAAGUGAGAUGUGAAAGACCCGGGCUUAACCCGGGCAGUGCAUUUCAAACUGGAUAUCUAGAGUGCAGGAGAGGAGAACGGAAUUCCUAGUGUAGCGGUGAAAUGCGUAGAGAUUAGGAAGAACACCAGUGGCGAAGGCGGUUCUCUGGACUGUAACUGACGCUGAGGCACGAAAGCGUGGGUAGCAAACAGGAUUAGAUACCCUGGUAGUCCACGACGUAAACG
rnacentral:rRNA from 1 species